rnacentral:lncRNA from 1 species
UCCUAUUCGGACUCCAAAAGACUUUCUGGCUGUUGGCGCUUCCCCAAAAGCAUUGAGGUAUUAUCCAUGUUUCGGAUAGAAAUGGAGGAACUUGAUAUUGGGAAGUUAAAGAUGCUAAAGACGUUGAAACUAAACGAUAGUAAAAUACAAAAGGUAAGUGGGGGAACCUUUGGUAUGUUGAAGGGACUCGUAGAACUUUAUCUCGGCGACUUCAAGUGUACAAAUUUGAGACAAGUAGUUGCCGAUAUCAGUCAACUUUCGUCUCUCAAAGUCUUGGACACAUAUAGAGUUGAAGAGGUCGAGAUUAAGGAAUUUCCAUCAGUUUUGAAGAAGUUAUCCACUUCAUCUCGGAUUCCGAAUCUUUCACAGUUGUUGGAUUUGGAGGUACUGGAGGUUCUGUAUUGCAAGGAUGGAAUGGACAUCCCUCCUGCUAAGAGUACUGAAGAUGAAGGUAGCGUGUGGUGGAAGGUAUCCAAGUUGAAGUCUUUGAAACUCUAUCGCACAAGAAUCAAUAUCGACGUUGUGGAUGCUUCUUCCGGUUGUCGUUAUUUACUACCAUCGUCGCUAACCUCUCUCAAAAUAAAUUCGUGUGAAGAACCAACGUGGCUUCCAGGAAUAGAGAACUUGGAGAAUUUGACUUCGCUGGAAGUCAACGACAUCUCCCAAACUCUUGGAGGUGAUUUGGAUGGGCUACAAGGGUUGAGAUCAUUGCAAAUUCUUAGGAUUCGGUUAGUAAAUGGUUUAGUUCGGAUCAAAGGGCUUAAGGAUCUCUUGUGUUCUUCUACCUGCAAGUUGCGGAAAUUAGAUAUUAUAACAUGCCAUGACCUCACUGAGAUACUCCCAUGCGAAAUCGACGACCAAAAAGUGGUAGUCCCCUCUCUGGUAGAACUGACCAUUAGGAAGUGUCCACGGCUGGAGGUUGGUCCGAUGAUAAGAUCCCUCCCAAAGUUCCCAAUGCUAAAGGAGUUGGAACUGUUGAUGGUAAAAAUAGCUGAAGAGGAGGAUCUGGAUGUGAUCGGAUCCUUAGAAGAGUUGGUUUAUUUAUGGUUAGAGUUAGACGAUACAUCUUCCGGUAUAGAGAGGAUAGCUUCCUUGUCGAAGCUGCAAAAGUUAACUACACUCACAGUGAAGGUGCCGAGUUUGCGGGAGAUUGAAGGGCUUGCAGAGUUGAAGUCUUUAUGUCUUUUGAUUCUAGAGGGUUGCACGUCGUUGGAAAGACUGUGGCCUGAUGAACAGCUGGUGUGUAGUCUGGAGAAGCUGAAGCACCUCGACAUCCGAGGUUGCAGAAGCUUGAGUGUUGAUCAUCUCUCUGCACUCAAGACCACUCUAUCACCCAAGGUGAGUAUAACAUGGCCCGAUGAGAAAUACAGACGAUUGCGGUUAUUUGAUUGAGAUUUUUAUAAGUUACGAGGUAGUUAUUAUUUUGAAGAACACUCUUUUGUUACAGGCAUCAAGUUUGAUUGUGAUGGUAGUGCUUAUGAGUUUUAUAAAAUAUUAGUUUGUAUGGUCGUAUGAUGUUGCUGAAUUUUAUUGCUGAAUUUUAAAUUGAAGUUGAUAUGACAUUACACACCCGUAGAUAAAGUAAUAAAUAGUUGUAUAAUUAUAAAUAUAAGAUGGUGAACAAAACACCGAAUGGAUUGAAACAUUAAUAAAUUGCUCAUAUAGUGGCGGAAGGAAGAUGAUAAAGGAGAGAGUUUCGAAGUCCAAAAUUCUUAUCGUUCUUGAUGAUGUUGACGAGAAGUUUAAAUUUGAAGAAAUACUUGGCUGUCCUAAUGAUUUUGAUUCUCGAAGUAGAUUCAUCAUUACUUCAAGAAAUCAGAAAGUCUUGAGUACUUUAAAUGAGAAUCAAUGCCAGUUGUAUGAAGUUGGAUCGAUGAGCGAACCACAUUCGCUUGAACUCUUCUUCAAGCAUGCAUUCAAAAAGAAUACGCCUUCAUCGAAGUAUGUGACUCAAGCAAAUGAGAUUGUAUCUACUACGGGAGGACUUCCAUUGACUUUUAAGGUUAUAGGUUCGCUUUUAUAUAGACAACAGAUUGAGGUUUGGGAAGAUACGUUGGAACAGUUACAUAAAACUGGUAUGGUUGGUGAUGAUGAGGUUUAUGAGAGGUUAAAAAUAAGUUAUGAUAAGUUGGAGUUGAAGGCAAAAGAGAUUUUCUUGGAUAUAGCUUGCUUUUUCAUCAAUACAAAGAAAGAAGAACCAUAUCACAUGUGGAGCGACUGUAAUUUUUAUCCUAAAAGUAAUAUUAUUUUUCUCAUUCAAAGAUGUAUGAUACAAGUUGGGGAUGAUGGGGUGUUUGAGAUGCAUGACCAACUUAGAGAUAUGGGUAGAGAAAUUGUGAGAAGAGAGGAUGUGGAGCGGCCGUGGAAGAGAAGUAGGAUAUGGUCGAGCGAAGAAGGAAUUGAUCUCUUAUUGAACAAAAAGGUAUUUCAUUUUCUGUAAAUUAUAUUUAAAUCACAGUUGUUGAACAAAAAGGUAUUUUAUUUUCUGUAAAAUUAUUAUUAAUUUAAAUGACAUAACUGAUAAUUAAAUAUGUUCCUUGUCAAAUUACAGGGAUCAAGUCAAGUAAAAGCAAUUCGCAUAGACCCACCCUGGGAGUCAGAUGUCAAGUAUGAGUUUAAGAGUGAAUGUUUUUUGAAUUUGUCAGAGUUGAGAUAUUUUGAUGCAGAUCCAACAAUAUUGCUGACCGGAGAUUUCAAUAAUCUUCUCCCGAAUUUGAGGUGGCUUCAAUUGCCAGCUUACGCAUAUGAAGAGGACGGUCCUCUUUUGACCAAUUUUACUAUGAAAAAUCUGAUAAUUUUAAUCCUUGGGGUAAACAGCGCAAUAGAGCUUUUGAAGGUGCACUAUUUUCCGCCGUCAGUUGUGGAAUCAAUUUAUGAUAGUCUUUGUUCUUCACGUUUCGGUUGGGGCCUUAUGAAGGUUAAUUUGGUUGUGGCUGAGAGGCUGAAAGUUGUACGACUUUCUCCAGCAACAGUCUAUAGGAUCCCCGAAACAUUUGGCUGUUGGCGCUUCCCCAAAAGCAUUGAGGUAUUAUCCAUGAAUUCUAUGAGAAUUGAAGAACUUGAUAUUGGGGAGUUAAAGAAGCUAAAGACGUUGGAUCUGAGCUACUGUACAAUACAAAAGAUAAGUGGGGGAACCUUUGGUAUGUUGAAGGGACUCAUAGAGCUUGAACUCAUCGA